rnacentral:ncRNA from 1 species
CCGUUUAAUUUUGGCGGUAGUAAGAAUUUAACUAUCAGUCACAUAGGUAAUUUGUUGGCAUUCUUAGUUAUGGGGAACAAUAACACCACCCUAGUGGCUAGUGUUUUAUUUUAGCGUGGGCUAUUUAAGGGUAGUUUGAUGAAGGGGAUAGGGCACAGUGCCAGCAUCCGCGGUUAUUCUGUUUUCUUCUCUUCUUCUUUUUUGUGUUGUAGCAUUUCAGCGUAUGGUUAUGUAAAAAUUUCUUAUGGGUGUUAUGUGUGUUAUACAGCUAGUAUGUGGCUGAUUAAGACGUGGAUUAGAUACCCACUUAUUUGUCAAACUACACUAUGUUAGUUUAAAUAACUAAAAAAUUUUGGCAGCAGGUGUUUGCUUUUCGGGGGAGUGUGUUAGUUAAAGGAUGAUCCACCAACUAAAUAACCACGAUUAUGCUGGUGUAUAUCUGGUUGAACAUUAGCGCUGUUGUGGUUAAGUUUGUGUAUUGUAAAAUUAAGCCAAGUCUAUGUGCUGCGUAUUGUGGGCCGUAGUGCACUACAUUAAUAAUUGGUGACUUGUGAUUAGUUACUAUUUUAGGACUCGAUAGUAAUAUUAUUUAAGUUUGAUAGUGUGAAUAGUGUUUAACCUGGGUACACACCGCCCGUCACCCUCGUCAAUUGUUGAGGUAAGUCGUAACAAGGUAGCCCCAGAUGAAUCUGGGGCUGAGU